CGUAAAUGCGCGGUGAUCCACAUCUGCAUUAAAGAAGGCGGGCCGCUGACUCGCAGCCAAGUUCAUCUCAAGUGAUGGCCAAAGUUUCGCAACACUCCGCGCGUAAUCCAGUUUGGAGACCUUUUACGCACGGCGCAAUUUCUGCAACCAGCAGACUGGGAAUUUCGCUGGAAGCACUGAGGAGGAGGAGGAGGUGGGGUGGAAGGAGAGGGGGCAUAUAUUGAAAGAAGGGCGAGGAAGAGCGAGAAGAGUCGUCAUCGUCGCUGGCAUCGCACAAGACGAGGAGGCUGAGAGGAGCUUCCCCGCCCACGCGGACAUGGAGCACCGCAGCCCGGUGGGCGCUCGUCACCCGAAGCAGAGGACACUUUGCGCAUAGAGUUGAUUUGCUGAGCGGACUUAACCAGCGGGAUUGGAACAGCGCACCUUACCUUGAAGCUAUCAAGAAGAAGGACAACGCUUUUUUGGGGGGAGUGGGGGGGUCCCGUCUCUCAUCCGUGUGAGCCAUGGUGGUGAUGCGCGUGCCCGCCGCCCUGGGACUGGUGCUGCUUCUCACGUGCGCGCUCGCCAGCGCCGCGCCGACGACGAGAGCGAGCGUGAGCCGAGGUUGGAGGCGCGCGGAGGAGGGGCGGAGCCGCGGCCACACCGAGACCGCCACCGCCACCGCCACCGGGACGACGGCGGCCGAAGCCCCCUGGAGCCGUCGGAGGAGCGCCGUCGCCAUGACGACGACAAUGCCCCACGGGCAGCGGAAGGAUUCAAAGAGAUCGAAAACAGACAGAAGGGAUCGGACAGCCGCCGUAUCCCCGCAAGAUCACCGGAGGAAGGGCAAAUACCUGAAACAUAUCACAGGGCCCCUCUACUUCAGCCCUAAGUGCUGGAAGCAUGUGUACCACGUGUACUACCAGACCAGAGACUGCACGAUACCUGCAUGUAAGCAAGCUAAACACGAGCUCUUUGCCUCACUGAUCAUCCACCGCAUGUUGCCCAACAAAAGCUUCCAAGACCUCAUUUAAGGCAUCUCUAUUUUCUUCUUUUUGGCAGAUAUCAAAAGAUGUGCACGGCUUCUCACGCGUCUUGCCGGCAGCCCAAUGUGCACGGGGGGCUAACACGAGCAAGGUCCAAGCUAAACACCUGCUAUCCAGAAUUCUAAUGGUCUUGGCUGGGAAAAGUGCUUCAGAGAGCCGUCUGAAAAAAACACCGAGACCAGCCCUUUUGUUGAACUCGGGCAUAACAAGUGUCCUUCUCCUGAAGUCUACUGACAAUAUGGACGGCGCUCAAAGACAGAAAGAACCCACUGGGACCAAGAGCCCUUUCAAAUAUGUUGCAAAUCUUGCAAAGAUGGAGACGAGAGACAUCAGGACGAUCCAUGAGCUCGUUUUUUUUUUUUUUAUAAAAAGGACUAAAGGACGCUGACUCCGUUGGCCCGAGCGCCUACACGAGAUGUUCACGGGACACGAACCACGGUGGGAAGCCACAGAAGAUUCCAUCAAAAUCUAUAUUUAUAUAUUUGAAAAGCUUCGACUGGAGGCCGCAACCAUUUCCACAUUUGUGUGUAAAUCGUGUAAAACAAAACCAUAAAAAAAAUGUCCAGCAUAUAAGCGAUAUAUAGCUGUAUAUGAUAUAUAAAAGCAAGUUAUAUUUAAAUAAAUUAUAUAAUUGGUACAAAAAUCCAGGGGUAGUUUUUCCCUGCUGAUAAGGUGAUUGCUGAGCCAAGCAUGGCGGCGGCGGCCCCUCUGUCAGUGCUUUUUUUGGGAGGUGUUCUUCAAUUUGUUUCGUUUUCCCCCGUAACGCUGACACAGUUGACCCGCGCUGUUUAUGAACUGUUUAUUAGCAACGCCUUGCCUGAGCUUUAUACGAGGCGCGAGUGCGAAUAUAGAGUCCGUGUGUAUGCGCGUGUCAAACCUUUUUGGUUUGUUUUCCUUGAAACAUGUCGGUGAGGAAACGUUAGAUUAGAGACAGCCGUCAUGUUAAUGGGCAAUAAAUGAUCGUGUCUGACCUGUACUAAUGGAUUUUUCAAUGCUGCGAGCGCCCACCAGGAAACGCACGUUGUUUUGUACGUUGGCAGAUUCCGAAGCGAUGCAGCUGCAGUUAUGAAUAGUAACAAGACGUAGAAAGUGUUGUUUUUUUUUUGGGUGCUUGAAAACAACACGCUGCUUAAGGAUAAUCACUUUGCAUUGGCCACACAUUACAACUUCAAUUCCACAAGGCCAAAAGCGAUUUUGAUGCAGCGAUGCAGAGUUUUUGAUGCAUAUUAGGUCCUUUAACGUUGAAGUCAGUGAAAUGACAUCCUAAAUCAAACACAAUCUGUUUCUGGACAUGCGUCAAACCCCUUAAACAUUUUACCCCCAUACAAAAAGAAUAAUUCUAUUUCAUGCCCCUUUCCUGUCGCUUAAGGUCAUUUUACAGGCUAAUGAUUAGCCUCGCUUGAAUAAGUUGGAGGAGGUUGGCGAGAGACAUUGGCAACGUUAUACAGUAUUUAUGGCUUUUAAUGUGAGGACCAGGAUUUUUUUUUAUUUUUAUUUUUUUUAUACAAUACUUACAAAAAGUUAGGGAUACUGGACUUUUAGUUCAGAUUUCUAACUAGCAACCCUCUAUUGCUCAGUGACUGUUUUUUUUUGGUUUUUUUGUCAAUGUCUUUAUGUCUCCAAAGUGUUCUCUGUCAAUUGACUGUCUGUUGUGGUACUAGAGCGGCUCCAACUCCCGGAGACAAAUUCCUUGUGUGUUUUUUGGACAUACUUGGCAAAUAAAGAUGAUUCUGAUUCUGA